rnacentral:rRNA from 1 species
GAUGAACGCUGGCGGCGUGCCUAAUACAUGCAAGUCGAGCGAACAGACGAGGAGCUUGCUCCUCUGACGUUAGCGGCGGACGGGUGAGUAACACGUGGAUAACCUACCUAUAAGACUGGGAUAACUUCGGGAAACCGGAGCUAAUACCGGAUAAUAUAUUGAACCGCAUGGUUCAAUAGUGAAAGACGGUUUUGCUGUCACUUAUAGAUGGAUCCGCGCCGCAUUAGCUAGUUGGUAAGGUAACGGCUUACCAAGGCAACGAUGCGUAGCCGACCUGAGAGGGUGAUCGGCCACACUGGAACUGAGACACGGUCCAGACUCCUACGGGAGGCAGCAGUAGGGAAUCUUCCGCAAUGGGCGAAAGCCUGACGGAGCAACGCCGCGUGAGUGAUGAAGGUCUUCGGAUCGGAAAACUCUGUUAUUAGGGAAGAGCAAAUGUGUAAGUAACUAUGCACGUCUUGACGGUACCUAAUCAGAAAGCCACGGCUAACUACGUG